rnacentral:lncRNA from 1 species
AGUCAGCCCCCAACCAACUGAGCCAUCCAGGCGCCCCUAUGUAUAAGAUUUAAAUACAACAUUGUCACCACUUCAUUGAGAUAAGAGGAAAGAGGUGUCAGUGGGCCACAGGUUUAAUUCAGACACUUGGCACUGAGAGAGUUAUGAGGGCAGAUAAAACAUGAUGAUGGUAUCCUUUGAGAGGAAGAAGACUGACCUAAGAAAAUAUGGAGAACUCUUGAAAUGUGGGUUCACAAAUGGGAGGGAGUUCUUUUUGUCACUCCAAAGGCUUAGGAACCUACACGUGAUGAGCAAAUGUGACAGAGAUGGAGACCUGGGAAAUGUGGGUUUCAGAGAAGUCAGUUCCUAUCUUCAUGAGUUCAUAAAUUCUAUGUAUUGCUGAGGACAGGGGAUGCCGGAUGACAAAGAUUCCUGUGCUUUUCAGGCCAAAAUCAGUUGUGGUGGAUGGAGAGGGUUUGCUGGAAGAUGCAAAUGUUGUGGGCAUAGCUUUCCAAUGUCACAUGGCAGAGUAGAUACAGGAAAUGAGGAAGCCUUGUGGACCCUGGCAGGAGCAGCAAACUGCACUGACCUUCCACAAAGCACUAGAAUCUUAGGUUUAUAAACGCAUGUUGGUCUGAUCCACUGUAGAUGGAUGACAUUCCAGUGAAGCUGAUCCACAGCUGGGAGGAAAACUCAGUCCUGCUUGAGCCCCAUGAUGAGUGUUCUACUCAGGAUUGUGCAAGGUCUUGCUCUCUCUGGAUCUGGUCAAGAUUUCUGGAAAAGGAAAGAGCCCUGACAUGUGAAGAGCAAGGAGACAUUACCCACACAUGCAGUACCCUUCUAGUACUAUUCCAAAAUUUACAAGUACUCCAGAUGAUUCUGAUGAAAGCUAACUUUGACAGCCUCUGCAGGAACUAA